AUUACCAGGAUUCAAAGGUGUUAGUGCAGAUUAUGAUAUGGAUAUGCACCAGAAAGAACAACUUCAUGACAAUGCUAUGCCAAUGAUGCAAUCUCAGCAUUUCUCUAUGGGGAGGUCUGCUGGUUUCAGCUUGGGGGGAACAUAUUCAUCCCAUCGUCCCCAACCGCAACAGCAUAAUCCUUCAGUCAGCAGUGGCAGUGUCUCGUUCUCAUCGGUAAAUAACCAGGAUCUUCUCCAUCAACAUGGAUCAGAUG